GGGUUGUGAGGUUAAGCGACUAAGCGUACACGGUGGAUGCCCUGGCAGUCAGAGGCGAUGAAGGACGUGCUAAUCUGCGAUAAGCGCCGGUAAGGUGAUAUGAACCGUUAUAACCGGCGAUUUCCGAAUGGGGAAACCCAGUGUGACUCGUCACACUAUCAUUAACUGAAUCCAUAGGUUAAUGAGGCGAACCGGGGGAACUGAAACAUCUAAGUACCCCGAGGAAAAGAAAUCAACCGAGAUUCCCCCAGUAGCGGCGAGCGAACGGGGAGGAGCCCAGAGCCUGAAUCAGCAUGUGUGUUAGUGGAAGCGUCUGGAAAGGCGCGCGAUACAGGGUGACAGCCCCGUACACAAAAGCGCAUGUGCUGUGAGCUCGAUGAGUAGGGCGGGACACGUGGUAUCCUGUCUGAAUAUGGGGGGACCAUCCUCCAAGGCUAAAUACUCCUGACUGACCGAUAGUGAACCAGUACCGUGAGGGAAAGGCGAAAAGAACCCCGGCGAGGGGAGUGAAAAAGAACCUGAAACCGUGUACGUACAAGCAGUGGGAGCCCCACCACUAAGCCAGUGGUGAACUCCACAUACGCAUCCUUUGCUGAAGGUGCGGUUAACGGAGCGCAAGCGACGUUCAACCUCAAAAGAAGCAGAGGGGGCUUAGUGGUGGGGUGACUGCGUACCUUUUGUAUAAUGGGUCAGCGACUUAUAUUCUGUAGCAAGGUUAACCGCAUAGGGGAGCCGGAGGGAAA
rnacentral:rRNA from 1 species